CCCUGUUCUGUAUAUUCCUGUUCAACUUAAGAAGUCCUCUGUGAAAAUCUGUUAAAUGCACAAAGGUUCUUAACCAUAUGAGUGACCACAGGGGAGAAGUUGGGAAGACGCUCAAAGGUGGUGGCCCUGAAGUUGAAGAGAAAUGGACCGACUCUAAUGAGACUUCAAUUCUGAUUUUUAAACGUCUAAGUGAAUGAUGACCCUGGAUUGAAGUCUCAGCAAGAAUAGACAUCACCUUGCCAGGUCAGGUGAUGCUCCAGGGAAGGAGCUCCAGGUUGGCAGAGAAUCUCCUGCAAGCAGCCAUUCAAGGUCCCAGGCUGAGGGUGGAACAACCGUCUUCAUCACACAGCUUCCAGAGGCACCCUGCUCUCACCGCUGGAGCCCGCAGAAUGGGAGAUGAGCAAGCGGAGGAAGCAUGCUCACUGACUUAA